rnacentral:rRNA from 1 species
UGGGGGAUAUUGCACAAUGGGGGAAACCCUGAUGCAGCGACGCCGCGUGGGUGAAGAAGCGCCUCGGCGCGUAAAGCCCUGUCAGCAGGGAAGAAAAUGACGGUACCUGAAGAAGAAGCCCCGGCUAACUACGUG